rnacentral:rRNA from 1 species
GACGAACGCUGGCGGCGUGCUUAACACAUGCAAGUCGAACGGAAAGGCCCUGCUUUUGUGGGGUGCUCGAGUGGCGAACGGGUGAGUAACACGUGAGUAACCUGCCCUUGACUUUGGGAUAACUUCAGGAAACUGGGGCUAAUACCGGAUAGGAGCUCCUGCUGCAUGGUGGGGGUUGGAAAGUUUCGGCGGUUGGGGAUGGACUCGCGGCUUAUCAGCUUGUUGGUGGGGUAGUGGCUUACCAAGGCUUUGACGGGUAGCCGGCCUGAGAGGGUGACCGGCCACAUUGGGACUGAGAUACGGCCCAGACUCCUACGGGAGGCAGCAGUGGGGAAUAUUGCACAAUGGGCGGAAGCCUGAUGCAGCAACGCCGCGUGCGGGAUGACGGCCUUCGGGUUGUAAACCGCUUUCGCCUGUGACGAAGCGUGAGUGACGGUAAUGGGUAAAGAAGCACCGGCUAACUACGUGCCAGCAGCCGCGGUGAUACGUAGGGUGCGAGCGUUGUCCGGAUUUAUUGGGCGUAAAGGGCUCGUAGGUGGUUGAUCGCGUCGGAAGUGUAAUCUUGGGGCUUAACCCUGAGCGUGCUUUCGAUACGGGUUGACUUGAGGAAGGUAGGGGAGAAUGGAAUUCCUGGUGGAGCGGUGGAAUGCGCAGAUAUCAGGAGGAACACCAGUGGCGAAGGCGGUCCUCUGGGCCUUUCCUGACGCUGAGGAGCGAAAGCGUGGGGAGCGAACAGGCUUAGAUACCCUGGUAGUCCACGCUGUAAACGGUGGGUACUAGGUGUGGGGUCCAUUCCACGGGUUCCGUGCCGUAGCUAACGCUUUAAGUACCCCGCCUGGGGAGUACGGCCGCAAGGCUAAAACUCAAAGGAAUUGACGGGGCCCCGCACAAGCGGCGGAGCAUGCGGAUUAAUUCGAUGCAACGCGUAGAACCUUACCUGGGUUUGACAUGGAUCGGGAGCGCUCAGAGAUGGGUGUGCCUCUUUUGGGGUCGGUUCACAGGUGGUGCAUGGCUGUCGUCAGCUCGUGUCGUGAGAUGUUGGGUUAAGUCCCGCAACGAGCGCAACCCUUGUUCACUGUUGCCAGCACGUUAUGGUGGGGACUCAGUGGAGACCGCCGGGGUCAACUCGGAGGAAGGUGGGGAUGACGUCAAGUCAUCAUGCCCCUUAUGUCCAGGGCUUCACGCAUGCUACAAUGGCUGGUACAGAGAGUGGCGAGCCUGUGAGGGUGAGCGAAUCUCGGAAAGCCGGUCUCAGUUCGGAUUGGGGUCUGCAACUCGACCUCAUGAAGUCGGAGUCGCUAGUAAUCGCAGAUCAGCAACGCUGCGGUGAAUACGUUCCCGGG